rnacentral:rRNA from 1 species
ACUCCUACGGGAGGCAGCAGUGGGGAAUCUUGGACAAUGGGGGCAAACCCUGAUCCAGCCAUGCCGCGUGAGUGAUGAAGGCCUUAGGGUCGUAAAGCUCUUUCGCCUGUGAUGAUAAUGACAGUAGCAGGUAAAGAAACCCCGGCUAACUCCGUGCCAGCAGCCGCGGUAAUACGGAGGGGGUUAGCGUUGUUCGGAAUUACUGGGGCGUAAAGCGCGCGUAGGCGGAUUAGUCAGUUAGAGGUGAAAUCCCAGGGCUCAACCCUGGAACUGCCUUUAAUACUGCUAGUCUUGAGUUCGAGAGAGGUGAGUGGAAUUCCGAGUGUAGAGGUGAAAUUCGUAGAUAUUCGGAGGAACACCAGUGGCGAAGGCGGCUCACUGGCUCGAUACUGACGCUGAGGUGCGAAAGUGUGGGGAGCAAACAGGAUUAGAUACCCUGGUAGGAUAGCG